rnacentral:rRNA from 1 species
AGAGUUUGAUCCUGGCUUAGGACGAACGCUGGCGGCGUGCCUAACACAUGCAAGUCGAGCGGGGAUGUCUGGGGAGCUUGCUUUCCGGACAUUCUAGCGGCGGACGGGUGAGUAACGCGUGAGCAACCUGCCUUUAACAGGGGGAUAACGCAUCGAAAGAUGUGCUAAUACCGCAUAAGACCACGGUUUCACAUGGGACAGGGGUCAAAGGAGCAAUCCGGUUAAAGAUGGGCUCGCGUCCGAUUAGCUAGUUGGUGAGAUAACAGCCCACCAAGGCGACGAUCGGUAGCCGACCUGAGAGGGUGAUCGGCCACAUUGGAACUGAGAUACGGUCCAGACUCCUACGGGAGGCAGCAGUGGGGAAUAUUGGGCAAUGGGCGAAAGCCCUGACCCAGCAACGCCGCGUGAGGGAAGAAGGGUUUCGGCUCGUAAACCUCUGUCCUGUGGGACGAAGGAAGUGACGGUACCACAGGAGGAAGCCCCGGCUAACUACGUGCCAGCCGCAGC